GAUUUAUAACCAUUUGACAUUAAUUUAACAUAAUUUUAACAAAAAAAAAAAGGGGAUCGGAAAUUGAAAAUGCUCACCGGAUUGAACAUGCGGGAUAUAUCGACACUUCCUAUUUAUAGUGGGAUAUAUAGGCCGAUAUCGUUGAUAUUUAAGACAUUGCUCCUAACUGGAGCAAUUCUUGGUAUCCAUUGCAUA